rnacentral:rRNA from 1 species
UACGUAGGUGGCAAGCGUUGUCCGGAUUUACUGGGCGUAAAGGGCGUGCAGGCGGUCUGUUAAGUGCAGGGUGAAAGCUCCCGGCUCAACUGGGAGAGGUCCUUGCAUACUGGCGGACUUGAGGGGGGUAGAGGAAAGUGGAAUUCCCGGCGUAGUGGUGAUAUGCGUAGAUAUCGGGAGGAACACCUGUGGCGAAGGCGGCUUUCUGGGCCCUACCUGACGCUGAGACGCGAAAGCGUGGGGAGCGAACCGG